rfam:Nonlabens sediminis DNA, contig: contig00001, strain: JCM 19294.
GCGGAUGUGGUGGAACUGGUAGACACGCUAGACUUAGGAUCUAGUGCCGCAAGGUGUGCAGGUUCGAUUCCUGUCAUCCGCA